UUGUCUUAUUCCAAGGUUCCAGAGCCGUUCGUCGCUCUUCUUCGUUUCUCAAAUAAAACCCCUCUGGCGCGAUUCGAUCGAAGAAAUAAUCGAGAUCUCAGUCGGAAAAGAUCUUCUUUGAGCCCUCAGCAUUGUGGAUUAUAUGCUGCCGAACAGCUGAAUCGAUGCGCGCGUAAUUGUCCAAUUUCGGCUUGAGAGAAAAAAGCAACCAGAUUUCAUUUUCAUCCUCGUGUUAAAAGAAAGAUGGCUGAAGUAAUUAGUAACCCUGAUGCUGGAAUGAAACGGCGUCUGCCUGCGUGGAUGCUUCAAGCGAAAUCAGAGAAUGGAGGGAGAAAUACGGAAAAUGGGAAUAAAACAGGUCGCAAAUCAGAAACUUUACAUGACAAUCAGGAUGAGGUAAAACCCGCCAUCAGAAAGCACAAAAGAAGGAUGCCAGAAACAGCAGGCCCUGGCAAAUCGGAAAUCUUGCAAAAAUGCCGAACGAAACAGAGAAAUAAUGAUUCGCGGGCCAAAGAUGAAGGUCGGAGUAAAGUUGUCUCCUGUAAUACAAAAAAUGAUGGAGAUUCAAGGAUGGUUAAUGGAAGGGAUGCUAAAAAGAAGCGUAAAUUGAAGAGAAUGAUGAGGGAGAUGGAAAUGGAAACCUCAUCACCUGAAAAGAGUGAUGAUGAAGUCGACCUCUCUGUUGAAGAUCUAAUGAGCAUUGCCGAAGAGUAUGUAAAUGCUGAUAAAGAAAAGCAAUGUAAAUCAUCAACUGCCAAGGAGCCCAAUUCAGAAACACGCUCAUCAAGUUUGUCGGUUUCCUCUAAUACUAACCUAGAAAGACUUGCACAAGAUGCUGCAUUAUCAAAGGCACUAUCCAAAUGCUCAGUGAUCAAAUCAAGUUUGUAUUUCACUGGUUCUCAAACGAGUGAGGUAAAGAACCCUGUAGAUGAACUAUGCUCCACAAAUAUUAGAGCAAUGGGAGAUCCUGCUCGAGAUAUGCUGGAUUUGUUUCUGGGUCCUCUUCUGAGGGAAUCUUCGGUUAAAGAGCAGAAAACUGAGGCAGUUGAAACCCUAAGCGGGCUUACGACCUAUGGAAUCAAUAAACAAGAUACAUCCCGUGAAGUGCGGAGAGGAGAGGAACCCGUAAUGAAAAAGAAGAGCAGCUUGAAGGAUAAGGUGGCCCUGUUUCUUGACUAAGCUCAGGACAAGUGCCAUGCUUUACAGCCAAUGAAUAAACUGAACUGGCAUGUAAGCUGUGAAUAUCCUUGCUAUGUUAAAGCUGUUACUGGAUCUAUGCUUUGCACAUGUAGGGUUCUGCUGUGGGAAGCUGAUCUGGAAACGUGUCGAUGAAUCUAUGAGGGAUUGAGAAUAUAUUACCUGGAAGAGAUCUCCUAUGUUGACAACAAGCACGUCAGGAUUUGGCGCGACAGCGACCCAUUCGGAAUCCUUCAUCAGGUGCAAUCCGCCGAUGUGAUCCUGAUGCAAGACGGUGAGGAAGUCGCUGUCGGUGUGCGGCAUCAGGCCGAAGGUUUCCGGCGCGAAGGGGCACGGAGGGUACCUGUUGAGGCGGAGGAAGCAUGUUUUAUCGUCGCAGUUCACGGGGAAGCCGUUGCCGGUGUAGCCUAGGUUCUCGGCUAGUACGCCGGCUAGCGUGCGGGCGAGCGCCGACAUCGCGGCAGCCAACUUAUCCACUGCUACCCUGGAAGAAACAAUGGAUAAGUAUCAGCUUGUCGUGUAACUGGUGUUGGAGUUUAAGGCCUUAGGUUUGUGACCAGGCUAUUAAGUUAUCAGAAGUGUUGUUUGAAUAAAAUUAUUUUUAAAAAAAUUAAAAAUAAAUUGUUUUUUUUUUA